rnacentral:rRNA from 1 species
AACGAACGCUGGCGGCGCGCCUAAUACAUGCAAGUCGAGCGAGAAGACGUAGCAAUACGUUUGUAAAGCGGCGAACGGGUGAGGAAUACAUGGGUAACCUACCCUCGAGUGGGGAAUAACUAGCCGAAAGGUUAGCUAAUACCGCGUACGCUCCUUGGACUUCGGUUCAGGGAGGAAAGCGAUACCGUGGGUAUCGCGCUCUUGGAUGGGCUCAUGUCCUAUCAGCUUGUUGGGAGGUAACGGCUCACCAAGGCUUCGACGGGUAGCUGGUCUGAGAGGACGAUCAGCCACACUGGCACUGCGACACGGGCCAGACUCCUACGGGAGGCAGCAGUAAGGAAUAUUGCGCAAUGGGCGAAAGCCUGACGCAGCGACGCCGCGUGGGGGAUGAAGGUCUUCGGAUUGUAAACCCCUUUCGGGAGGGAAGAUGGAAUGGGGUAACCCGAUUCGGACGGUACCUCCAGAAGCAGCCACGGCUAACUUCGUGCCAGCAGCCGCAGU